ACAAGAUUAAAUAAAAUUCCUUCAUGAUGUUAAGAUGAAUGAUCAUGGAGCUCAAGUUACACCGGACGUAACCUGGUGUCCUAUUACACAUGCACCCAUGAACAGUUGGGCCAUAAUACGAAAUUUUUCUCAAAUUCUGCUUUCCCAUCUUUUUCGUGAAAUGCGCAAACAAAAAUGAACGAACCUGCAAAUGAAGCACAACGAAAUGUACAGGAAAACAACUCACUUUUUAUUAGAUCAAACCAAAAUGAGUUAAAACUUCGGUAAGGCAUGGUUACAUCUCAUUGUUAAAACAUAUUGUUGAAAGGUCUCCUUAAAUUGCUAGUUAAUUCUAAAUAAUCUAGGUUCAUCAUAACUUCCCGAUAUCAUCUUUUCUCUCUUGGCUUUCCUGUUUCACAUCGGUUAACUUGGUAGAUUCGGAAACUGCGGAUUUGAUGUUCAUUU